rnacentral:rRNA from 1 species
GACGAACGCUGGCGGCGUGCUUAACACAUGCAAGUCGAACGAUGAAGCCGGAGCUUGCUCCGGUGGAUUAGUGGCGAACGGGUGAGUAACACGUGAGCAACCUGCCCUUCACUCUGGGAUAACUGCGGGAAACUGUAGCUAAUACCGGAUAUUAGGAUCCGAGGCAUCUCGGAUCUUGGAAAGAAUUUCGGUGAAGGAUGGACUCGCGGCCUAUCAGCUUGUUGGUGAGGUAAUGGCUCACCAAGGCGACGACGGGUAGCCGGCCUGAGAGGGUGACCGGCCACACUGGAACUGAGACACGGUCCAGACUCCUACGGGAGGCAGCAGUGGGGAAUAUUGCACAAUGGGCGCAAGCCUGAUGCAGCAACGCCGCGUGAGGGACGAAGGCCUUCGGGUUGUAAACCUCUUUUAGCAGGGAAGAAGCGAAAGUGACGGUACCUGCAGAAAAAGCACCGGCUAACUACG